GACGAACGCUGGCGGCGUGCUUAACACAUGCAAGUCGAACGAUGAACUUGGAGCUUGCUCUGGGGGAUUAGUGGCGAACGGGUGAGUAACACGUGAGUAACCUGCCCUGGACUCUGGGAUAACUUCGAGAAAUCGGAGCUAAUACCGGAUAGGACCUUGCACCGCAUGGUGUGGGGUGGAAAGUGUGUCGGUUUGGGAUGGACUCGCGGCCUAUCAGCUUGUUGGUGAGGUAAUGGCUCACCAAGGCGUCGACGGGUAGCCGGCCCGAGAGGGUGACCGGCCACACUGGGACUGAGACACGGCCCAGACUCCUACGGGAGGCAGCAGUGGGGAAUAUUGCACAAUGGGCGCAAGCCUGAUGCAGCAACGCCGCGUGCGGGAUGACGGCCUUCGGGUUGUAAACCGCUUUUAGUAGGGAAGAAGCCUUCGGGUGACGGUACCUGCAGAAAAAGGACCGGCUAACUACGUGCCAGCAGCCGCGGUAAGAC
rnacentral:rRNA from 1 species